CAGUCGCCGCGGGAACACGUAGGGUGCAAGCGUUAAUCGGAAUUACUGGGCGUAAAGCGUGCGUAGGUGGUGGUUUAAGUCCGUUGUGAAAGCCCUGGGCUCAACCUGGGAAUUGCAGUGGAUACUGGAUCACUAGAGUGUGGUAGAGGAUAGUGGAAUUUCCGGUGUAGCAGUGAAAUGCGUAGAGAUCGGAAGGAACAUCUGUGGCGAAGGCGACUAUCUGGGCCAACACUGACACUGAGGCACGAAAGCGUGGGGAGCAAACAGGAUUAGAUACCCCGGUAGUCCCUGUCUCUUAUAC
rnacentral:rRNA from 1 species